rnacentral:rRNA from 1 species
CUACGGGUGGCAGCAGCGAGGAAUAUUGCACAAUGGGGGGAACCCUGUUGCAGCAACGCCGCGUGGAGGAUGACGCAUUUCGGUGUGUAAACUCCUUUUAUAUGUCAAGAAAAUGACGGUAGCAUAUGAAUAAGCACCGGCUAACUCCGUGCCAGCAGCCGCGGUAAUACGGAGGGUGCAAGCGUUACUCGGAAUCACUGGGCGUAAAGGACGCGUAGGCGGGUUGGAAAGUCAGGUGUGAAAUCCUACAGCUUAACUGUAGAACUGCACUUGAAACUUCUAAUCUAGAGUAUGGGAGGGGGAGAUGGAAUUAGUGGUGUAGGGGUAAAAUCCGUAGAUAUCACUAGGAAUACCUAAAGCGAAGGCGAUCUCCUGGAACAUUACUGACGCUAAGGCGUGAAAGCGUGGGGAGCAAACAGGAUUAGAUACCCCAGUAGUC